ensembl:lncRNA
GGGUGUACAUGGUUAUUCUAUACUUUUUUGAGAAGGUGAAUGUUGCUGAUUUUUGAAGGUGAAAUGUUGGGGUCUGAAGGGGAAUGUUGAAGGGGAAUGUUGGGGUCUGAAGGGGAAUGUUGAAGGGGAAUGUUGGGGUCUGAAGGGGAAUGUUAAAGGCGAAUGUUGGCGUCUGAAGGGGAAUGAUGAAGGGGAAUGUUGGGGUCUGAAGGGGAACGUUGAAGGCAAACGUUGGGGUCUGAAGGGGAAUGUUGAAGGGGAAUGUUGGGGUCUGAAGGGGAAUGUUGAAGGCGAAUGUUGGGGUCUGAAGGGGAAUGUUGAAGGUGAAUGUUGGGGUCUGAAGGGGAAUGUUGAAGGUGAAUGUUGGGGUCUGAAGGCGAAUGUUGAAGGUGAAUGUUGGGGUCUGAAGGCGAAUGUUGAAGGCGAAUGUUGGGGUCUGAAGGGGAAUGUUGAAGGCGAAUGUUGGGGUCUGAAGGGGAAUGUUGGGGUCUAAAGGGGAAUGUUGAAGGCGAAUGUUGGG